UACGUAGGGACCAAGCGUUGUUCGGAUUUACUGGGCGUAAAGGGCGCGUAGGCGGCGCGGUAAGUCACUUGUGAAAUCUCUGAGCUUAACUCAGAACGGCCAAGUGAUACUGCAGUGCUAGAGUGUGGAAGGGGCAAUCGGAAUUCUUGGUGUAGCGGUGAAAUGCGUAGAUAUCAAGAGGAACACCUGAGGUGAAGACGGGUUGCUGGGCCAACACUGACACUGAGGAGCGAAAGCCAGGGGAGCAAACGGG
rnacentral:rRNA from 1 species